AUUGAACGCUGGCGGCAGGCCUAACACAUGCAAGUCGAGCGGAUGAAGAGAGCUUGCUCUCUGAUUUAGCGGCGGACGGGUGAGUAAUGCCUAGGAAUCUGCCUGGUAGUGGGGGAUAACGUUCCGAAAGGAACGCUAAUACCGCAUACGUCCUACGGGAGAAAGCAGGGGACCUUCGGGCCUUGCGCUAUCAGAUGAGCCUAGGUCGGAUUAGCUAGUUGGUGAGGUAAUGGCUCACCAAGGCUACGAUCCGUAACUGGUCUGAGAGGAUGAUCAGUCACACUGGAACUGAGACACGGUCCAGACUCCUACGGGAGGCAGCAGUGGGGAAUAUUGGACAAUGGGCGAAAGCCUGAUCCAGCCAUGCCGCGUGUGUGAAGAAGGUCUUCGGAUUGUAAAGUACUUUAAGUUGGGAGGAAGGGCAGUAAGUUAAUACCUUGCUGUUUUGACGUUACCGACAGAAUAAGCACCGGCUAACUUCGUGCCAGCCGCCGCAGUAACAC
rnacentral:rRNA from 1 species